rnacentral:rRNA from 1 species
GUGAGGAAUUUUCCGCAAUGGGCGAAAGCCUGACGGAGCAAUGCUGCGUGAAGGAUGAAGGCCUAUGGGUUGUAAACUUCUUUUCUCAGAAAAGAAUUAUGACGGUAUCUGAGGAAUAAGCAUCGGCUAACUCUGUGCCAGCAGCCGCGGUAAGACAGAGGAUGCAAGCGUUAUCCGGAAUGAUUGGGCGUAAAGCGUCUGUAGGUUGUUUAAAAAGUAUUCUGUCAAAGAUUAGGGCUUAACCCUAGAUAGGCAGAAUAAACUUUUAAGCUAGAGUUUGGUAGAGGCAGAGGGAAUUCCCGGUGGAGCGGUGAAAUGCGUAGAUAUCGGGAGGAACACCAAAGGCGAAGGCACUCUGCUGGGCCAAUACUAACACUGAGAGACGAAAGCGAGGGGAGCAAAUGGGAUUAGAAACCCGUGUAGUCC